CGUCGGCUGACGGCGGAACAAUCGGCUUCACCGUCUUUUAUUCUCUUUGAAUCGUGAGUUCAAACGGCGGCACGUCUCCUCGUGGCGUCGACAGAUCUCGCUGAAUUCCCGAUGGAGUCUGCGUGGAGGAGAAGAAGGGGGUGGGGGGGCGUCUCCAUCGUCUUGUUCGGAUCAGAAAAGCUUUUACGGCGGCGGCGUUCAACUGUCAUGUGAACACAAAGCUGCUCUGUGAUCCGACGGCUCACCUGAUUGAACCAGACGCCUCAUCAGACGGCGAAGGUGAGACUGAGAGAGGAUCAGCUGCUCCGAACGUCUUCAUUUAAAGCCGAGAGAGAGAAAAAAGAGACAGGAACCAAAAACAGCUCAGCGCUCCGGAUCACCUCCUGAAGGAAGGAGCAGCAGGAGCAGGAAGUGCUCCACUCUUCUUCUUCGGUAACGAUUCAGAGUUUCACUCCACCAACUUUGUUCACAUUUUCUCCUGAGUUAAAAAAUAAACUUUAGGGGAUCAAUAAAAACUGAUCAAUAAUGUUUGUCUUAUUGAUCGACCUUAGUACUAUUAUUUUAAAUCAAUUUUAGGUCUUUUGGUCACAUGACAGUGAAGCUAUUGAAGGAAAACAGCCUUUUCUGAGAACAUCAACCGGUAAUUUAUUGACGGUCCCUUAUUCAACACCGACGUUGACAGUGAGGGUGUCGAGUAGAUUUAACCGCGCUGCUGUUGUUAUUCCCGGUUAUGGAGAGUGAGAAGACACCGGUAGAUCCUCAGAGAAUGUCCGUCAGAUAUCCAACCUGAAACUAACUUCACCGCUGUAUUUACAGGAAAAUAUAUCCAACCUAAAACUAACUUCACCGCCGUAUUUACAGGAAAAUAUAUCCAACCUGAAACUAACUUCACCACCGUAUUUACAGGAAAAUAUAUCCAACCUGAAACUAACUUCACCGCCGUAUUUACAGGGAAAUAUAUCCAACCUGAAACUAACUUCACCACCGUAUUUACAGGAAAAUAUAUCCAACCUGAAACUAACUUCACCGCCAUAUUUACAGGGAAAUAUAUCCAACCGGAAACUAACUUCACCGCCGUAUUUACAGGAAAAUAUAUCCAACCUGAAACUAACUUCACCGCCGUAUUUACAGGAAAAUAUAUCCAACCUAAAACUAACUUCACCGCCGUAUUUACAGGAAGAUAUAUCCAACCUAAAACUAACUUCACCGCCGUAUUUACAGGAAAAUAUAUCCAACCUGAAACUAACUUCACCGCCGUAUUUACAGGAAAAUAUAUCCAACCUGAAACUAACUUCACCGCCGUAUUUACAGGAAAAUAUAUCCAACCUGAAACUAACUUCACCGCCGUAUUUACAGGAAAAAAAACGUUUGUUGUUUUUUUUUUUAUUCACACAUGUGACCCUGAAUACAUUUGAGAAUUCACACACUUCUAUUUUUAGUCGCAGUAAAACAGUUGCACUGUGGAGACCUGAUCUGAGUGGAGGACAAAAAGUUUCAUGAAUCAAACCACGUUAAAAAAGUGUUCAGAUAGAAACUUUAAAAACUGAACGUAGACUGGACUCGGUUUAUCGCAUCCUUAAAGGAUCGCCGCUCAUCCGUCUGUCUUUGGUCAGUCUCAGCUUCACUGUAAACACUCACACAGAGGAUUCACUCUGGAUUCAUUCAGCAGAAUUAAAUCAAACUGAAACUUUAACUGAUUUUCCUCUGAUUUACAGGCGACUAUCAGGUCUUCAUUGGUGUCCGUCCUUCUCUCUGUGGUGAGUCUCAGUUUCACUGUGAACAGUCAGUUUCUUUAAAGCUUCACUUAGUGGUAAAAACCUGAAAAAGACUGAUUCUGUUUCUUACAUUUAACAGGCUGAGGUCUGCCCCAGUUCACUGUUGGUGGUAAGUCUCAGUUUUAUUGUAAAUAGUUACACAGAGGAUUCACAUUGUCUGUUUGUAUGAAGUCUCAGUUUCACUGUGAAAACCUCGCUCAGCUUCACUUCAGCCAAAUGAGAUUAAAAAAAGAAAAACAUGAAAUAAACGAGGUUUAAGUUAGUCCAGAUUAAACCGGGACCCAAAGUCUCAGUUUGACUGUAAAUGACAUCAAGAGCUUCACUGCAGCAGGACUGACCUGAAAACCAAACCCUGAUUUUAGUUUGUAGAAAUAACAGAAGUUCAUGUUUGAGAGGAGGGAACAGAUUUGAGUUUUUAUCAGAACAAAAUUCAACCAGAAAUAAACCUGCUCUCAGUUUUACAGCGGUGUAAUAUACAGAAUGACCAGCAGGGGGCACCACACUUCUUUACAGAGCUUUGUAAAGCUUCUCUCAG